rnacentral:lncRNA from 1 species
UACCUUUCCGUUGGUGUUAAAAUUUCAAAAUUUUAAAAGUACAUAGAGUAAAAUUUGUUGAGGCAAGUUUUGGAAGCAAUAACUCAAGCAAUGACUGUAAUGCCCCAAUUUUUACCCGGCCCAUAAUAAACCAAUAAAAGUCCAGGUUUUUUUUACAAACCCAAUUAAUAAACCCAAAUUACAUCAGCAAGCCCUAACCACAAAUAGAAACCCUAGCCUAACUCGAAGUGGCCCAUUUUCUUGAAGCAUCCAGAAACCCCUAGGGUUUCUGGAAUGAUUUGCGCCGCAGCCAAGCGAGGCUCCUCCCCGUGCAUACAUCGGCCUCCCCCACGUGUGUCUCGCCUCCAGCUGUACCUGUAGCAACAAACAACCAACGACAACAGCAAAAUAAAGGGAAAAACGACUAGUCUAUUAACUUGGUAACACUUAAAUUAGUUUAAUUAAAACCGACGACUAGUCUUUUAAUAUUAGUGAAAUUAUAGAUUAAGUCUAUGUUCUCCAAUUUGAUCAUUCUUAAUCCUUAUAUUUUUUGGAAAUUUGAAAUCCUAAUCUUAAUGCAACAUUAACUGACUUGUUUUUAAUAAUAUGAAGAAAUAGCAAUAUGUCAUGAUAUUACACAUGUUAUACUAUAUUUGCUAUAUAAGAUUUUGAAAAUAUUAGUGUAAUAGCCCAUUUUUGCCCGGGCCCAAAAAAAACCAAAAAUAAAUAAAUUAACAGUCCCAGUCCAUUUACAACAAACCCAACAGGCCCAAAACCCUAACGGCCGAAUAUGGCCUAAAAACUAAACGAAAUCAGAGAACCCUAGGGUUCCCUCCUCUCUCUCGCGCCGCAGCCUGCCCCAUGUGCACCCUUGGCGCGCACAACGCUCAAUGAUAACGCCUUCACCAGUGUUGCACCAAAAUGGCAAAGAUUUCUGCCCAUUGACUCCCCAUGACCUGCAAAACAGAUGAAAACAACAACCAAGAGACAAAAACAGUAGAGGCAGCGUAAUAGAAGUAUUUAAAAUAGUGAAAAAUAAAAGAAAAAGAUAUAUUGUAUUUUGUCUUUGGUUAUAUAAGCCCAGAAACCAAACGAUGUAAAAGGGGGGCUUCUUCCUUUUUUACGAACAUUAAUAAAAAAAAAACAGAAAACAGAUCGAAGGUGAUUCUUCUUUACUUUUUUUUCGAUUCCUUUUUUAUUUUUAUUUUUAUUUUUUUCUACAUACUAAAUAAUAAAAAUACAAGAAGAAGAGGCUUACUAGAGGCACUCGGUGAUCGAGCCUAGGGGGCAUUCUCCAUCGUCAGGGGGUCUACGCCACCGUCGGGCCAGAUCCGAAAGGAUGUUGGGGCUCUUCUCUUUCGUUUCGGCGUUGAGAGGGCUCAACCCCUGAGGGCACUGCAAGACAAGGGCCGAAAAGCCCAUUUUCUUUAUCGCCAUCCACGGCCAUGACGGUCACGUGAUGGACGGACGGUGGAACCCUAGCCGAAUUUUGGGGAGGGGUUGAAGUUUGAGAGAAUUUUGUUUGAUUUUUUUAGAGGAAAGGAGAAAAGGAAGGAUUUUUUUUUAAAAAAAAAAUUAGCUUUUAUAGCAUUAACAAAUGGC